CCCUUAGAUGUCCUGGGCCGCACGCGCGCUACACUGAGUGUCUGAGAUACGAGUCUGCCUAGCCGGCGAGGUCUAGGUAAUCGCUGAAAGACACAUCAUGCUUGGGAUAGAUUAUUGCAGAUAUUAAUCUUGAACGAGGAAUUCCUAGUAAGCGCAAGUCAACAGCUUGCGUUGAUUACGUCCCUGCCCUUUGUACACACCGCCCGUCGCUCCUACCGAUUGAGUGUUCCGGUGAAUAAUUCGGACUGCGGCUGAUUGGGGACUCUUCAGUCGGCUGUGGAAAGUCUAGUGAACCUUAACACUUAGAGGAAGGAGAAGUCGUAACA
rnacentral:rRNA from 1 species